ACGGAACUCUUCGGAGUUCAGUGGCGGACGGGUGAGUAACGCGUGAGAAUCUGCCUAGAGGAUGGGGACAACCACGGGAAACUGUGGCUAAUACCCAAUGAGCGGAGGCGUUAAAGAUUUAUCGCCUCUAGAGGAGCUCGCGUCUGAUUAGCUAGUUGGUGGGGUAAAAGCCUACCAAGGCGACGAUCAGUAGCUGGUCUGAGAGGACAACCAGCCACACUGGGACUGAGACACGGCCCAGACUCCUACGGGAGGCAGCAGUGGGGAAUUUUCCGCAAUGGGCGAAAGCCUGACGGAGCAAUACCGCGUGAGGGAGGAAGGCUCUUGGGUCGUAAACCUCUUUUCUCAGGGAAGAAGAAAGUGACGGUACCUGAGGAAUCAGCCUCGGCUAACUCCGUGCCAGCAGCCGCGGUAAUACGGAGGAGGCAAGCGUUAUCCGGAAUUAUUGGGCGUAAAGCGUCCGUAGGUGGCUCUUCAAGUCUGCUGUCAAAGAGUGGGGCUUAACUCCAGAAAGGCAGUGGAAACUGAAAGGCUAGAGAGCCGUAGGGGUAGAGGGAAUUCCCGGUGUAGCGGUGAAAUGCGUAGAGAUCGGGAAGAACAUCGGUGGCGAAAGCGCUCUACUGGACGGUAUCUGACACUGAGGGACGAAAGCUAGGGGAGCGAAUGGGAUUAGAUACCCCAGUAGUCCUAGCCGUA
rnacentral:rRNA from 1 species